rnacentral:lncRNA from 1 species
UGAGGGGUGAGGGAAAUGUGGUCGCCUAAAACACCAUCAAAGGUUGCUGCUUAAACACUUCCCUCAGCCAUAUAUGAAGGCUAAAUCAGAUAAAGAUCCCAGGAAGUGUGCAACAGGAGAACCAGUGACACAAUCCACCUUGGUAUGAGUGUCAGCCAUCUUGUCUUUCAACUGGAAAGCUAGAAGUGACAGGCACAAGAUUCAAAGGAAGCAGGCUGCUUUCUUGCAGCAAGACAAGGCAAGUUGGAAGAGAGGAUUAUUUUUCUUCUUCAAAGCUCUCACCCUC